GUUUCGUGGUGAAUCAUAAUAAUUAAGCGGAUCGCAUGGCCUUGAGCCGGCGACGGUCCACUCGAUUUUCUGCCCUAUCAUGGUUGAGAUUGUAAGAUAGAGGCUUACAAUGCCUAUAACGGGUAACGGGGAAUUAGGGUUCGAUUCCGGAGAGGGAGCCUGAGAAACGGCUACCACAUCCAAGGAAGGCAGCAGGCGCGCAAAUUACCCAAUCCCGACACGGGGAGGUAGUGACAAUACAUAACAAUGCAGGGCCUUUACGGUCUUGCAAUUGGAAUGAGUACAAUUUAAAUCCCUUAACGAGGAUCAAUUGGAGGGCAAGUCUGGUGCCAGCAGCCGCGGUAAUUCCAGCUCCAAUAGCGUAUAUUAAAGUUGUUGCAGUUAAAACGUCCGUAGUCAAACUUUAGUCUUACCGGCGCGGUGGCCUGGUCUUCAUUGAUCAAGCUCGCUGUCGCUGGAGACUCCACGUCCGCUGGCUCCUAGUCCUCGUGGCUAGGGUUUUGUGGACAAUUACCAUGAGCAAAUCAGAGUGUUUAAAGCAGGCUUUUAAGCUUGAAUGUGUUAGCAUGGAAUAAUGAAAUAUGACUUUAGUCCUAUUUUCGUUGGUUUAGGUACUAUAGUAAUGAUUAAUAGAAACGGUUGGGGGCAUUUGUAUUUGGCCGCUAGAGGUGAAAUUCUUGGAUUGGCCGAAGACAAACUACUGCGAAAGCAUUUGACCCAGGACGUUUUCAUUGAUCAAGGUCUAAAGUUAAGGGAUCGAAGACGAUUAGAUACCGUCGUAGUCUUAACCACAAACUAUGCCGACUAGAGAUUGGGCGUGUUUCUUUUGACUCGCUCAGCAUCUUAGCGAAAGUAAAGUUUUUGGGUUCUGGGGGGAGUAUGGGACGCAAGGCU
rnacentral:rRNA from 1 species